GUCCGCAUAGCUUACACCAAA
rnacentral:tRNA from 1 species